rnacentral:rRNA from 1 species
UACGUAGGGCGCAAGCGUUGUCCGGAAUUAUUGGGCGUAAAGAGCUCGUAGGCGGCCUGUUGCGUCCGCUGUGAGAUCCCGGGGCUCAACCCCGGGCCUGCAGUGGAUACGGGCUGGCUAGAGGCAGGCAGGGGAGAACGGAAUUCCUGGUGUAGCGGUGAAAUGCGCAGAUAUCGGGAGGAACACCGGUGGCGAAGGCGGUUCUCUGGGCCUGUACUGACGCUGAGGAGCGAAAGCGUGGGGAGCGAACAGG